UAGCGUAGGGUGCAAGCGUUUAAUCGGAAUUACUGGGCGUAAAGCGUGCGCAGGCGGCUAUGCAAGACAGAUGUGAAAUCCCCGGGCUCAACCUGGGAAUUGCAUUUGUGACUGCACGGCUAGAGUGUGUCAGAGGGGGGUAGAAUUCCACGUGUAGCAGUGAAAUGCGUAGAGAUGUGGAGGAAUACCGAUGGCGAAGGCAGCCCCCUGGGUCAAGAUUGACGCUCAUGCACGAAAGCGUGGGGAGCAAACAGG
rnacentral:rRNA from 1 species